UACGUAGGGUCCAAGCGUUAUCCGGAAUCACUGGGCGUAAAGCGUGCGUAGGUGGCGUGUUAAGUGUGAUGUUAAAUCGCGGGGCUCAACCCUGUCGGUGCAUCGCAUACUGGCAUGCUAGAGGGAAGCAGAGGCAAGUGGAAUUGGUAGUGUAGCAGUGAAAUGCGUAGAUAUUACCAGGAACACCAAUGGCGAAGGCAGCUUGCUGGGCUUCUUCUGACACUGAGGU
rnacentral:rRNA from 1 species